UUAAGUCGACCGCCUGGGGAGUACGGCCGCAAGGUUAAAACUCAAAUGAAUUGACGGGGGCCCGCACAAGCGGUGGAGCAUGUGGUUUAAUUCGAUGCAACGCGAAGAACCUUACCUGGUCUUGACAUCCACAGAACUUUCCAGAGAUGGAUUGGUGCCUUCGGGAACUGUGAGACAGGUGCUGCAUGGCUGUCGUCAGCUCGUGUUGUGAAAUGUUGGGUUAAGUCCCGCAACGAGCGCAACCCUUAUCCUUUGUUGCCAGCGGUCCGGCCGGGAACUCAAAGGAGACUGCCAGUGAUAAACUGGAGGAAGGUGGGGAUGACGUCAAGUCAUCAUGGCCCUUACGACCAGGGCUACACACGUGCUACAAUGGCGCAUACAAAGAGAAGCGACCUCGCGAGAGCAAGCGGACCUCAUAAAGUGCGUCGUAGUCCGGAUUGGAGUCUGCAACUCGACUCCAUGAAGUCGGAAUCGCUAGUAAUCGUGGAUCAGAAUGCCACGGUGAAUACGUUCCCGGGCCUUGUACACACCGCCCGUCACACCAUGGGAGUGGGUUGCAAAAGAAGUAGGUAGCUUAACCUUCGGGAGGGCGCUUACCACUUUGUGAUUCAUGACUGGGGUGAAGUCGUAACAAGGUAACCGUAGGGGAACCUGCGGUUGGAUCAC
rnacentral:rRNA from 2 species